CCUACGGGAGGCAGCAGUGAGGAAUAUUGGUCAAUGGCCGUAAGGCUGAACCAGCCAAGUCGCGUGAAGGAAGAAGGAUCUAUGGUUUGUAAACUUCUUUUAUAGGGGAAUAAAGGUAUCCACGUGUGGAUAUUUGCAUGUACCCUAUGAAUAAGCAUCGGCUAACUCCGUGCCAGCAGCCGCGGUAAUACGGAGGAUGCGAGCGUUAUCCGGAUUUAUUGGGUUUAAAGGGUGCGUAGGUUGUUUUUUAAGUCAGCGGUGAAAGUUUGUGGCUCAACCAUAAAAUUGCCGUUGAAACUGGAAGACGUGAGUGUGUUUGAGGUAGGCGGAAUGCGUGGUGUAGCGGUGAAAUGCAUAGAUAUCACGCAGAACUCCGAUUGCGAAGGCAGCUUACUAGGCCAUAACUGACACUGAAGCACGAAAGCGUGGGGAUCAAACAGGAUUAGAGACCCCAGUAGUC
rnacentral:rRNA from 1 species